rnacentral:lncRNA from 1 species
UCUCUUUUUCACCGCCGUUCGUUGUAGACAGCAGCAACGCCGCUGCCUUCUUCUUCCACUGACAGCAGCACCUCCCCCAUCUCUAUACCGACGGCAAGAGAAAAUUCUCGACAAUAGCAGAUAAGCCUCAAUUAUCAUCCACAUCAAACCCAUUUUGGGCGAAAUCCCCAAAUUGAAAUAAAAAAACAGCAGCAGCAGGAGAAAAAUAUAACCUGAAAAACAAGGUGAUAAUGCAGCAGCUAUGCUCUUUCUUGUCUUGCAUUACUUCUUCCUCAUUUCUCUCCAGUUUUCCCGCCGAGUCGUCACUGGAAAUUUUGGGGAAAGGGGUGGCUGGAUUUAGGGAUCUAGGGUUUGGGAGCCUAGGGCUCGGCGGCGGCGGCUCUACCGUCGUUUCGAU